CGGGGUGCACCAGGCGCGAAAACUUUGCAAUGCGGGAAACCGUGACAAGGGAACUCUGAGUGCCCGUUAAAUCGGGCUGUCCAUCGGUUUAAAUAACCGGUGAAGAAAGGGCCGGGCAAGACCGGUGCCAGCCGCCGCGGUAAUACCGGCGGCUCGAGUGGUGGCCACUAUUACUGGGCUUAAAGCGUUCGUAGCUGGUUUGUUAAGUCUCUGGGGAAAUCUUCCGGCUUAACCGGAAGGCGUCUCAGGGAUACUGGCAGACUAGGGACCGGGAGAGGUGAGAGGUACUCCAGGGGUAGGAGUGAAAUCCUGUAAUCCUUGGGGGACCACCUGUGGCGAAGGCGUCUCACCAGAACGGCUCCGACAGUGAGGGACGAAAGCUGGGGGAGCAAACCGGAUUAGAUACCCGGGUAGUCCCAGCUGUAAACGAUGUGCGUUAGGUGUAUCGGUGACCACGAGUCACCGAGGUGCCGAAGAGAAAUCGUGAAACGUACCGCCUGGGAAGUACGGUCGCAAGGCUGAAACUUAAAGGAAUUGGCGGGGGAGCACAAGGGCGAUUCGC
rnacentral:rRNA from 1 species